rnacentral:rRNA from 1 species
GAUGAACGCUAGCGACAGGCCUAACACAUGCAAGUCGAGGGGUAUAAGUAGCUUGCUACUUAGAGACCGGCGCACGGGUGAGUAACGCGUAUGCAACCUACCUUUUACUGGGGGAUAGCCCAAAGAAAUUUGGAUUAAUACCGCAUAAUAUAUUUGAAUCGCAUGGUUUGAAUAUUAAAUCUUCGGAGGUAAAAGAUGGGCAUGCGUAGCAUUAGUUUGUUGGUGAGGUAACGGCUCACCAAGACUAUGAUGCUUAGGGGGUCUGAGAGGAUAGUCCCCCACACUGGUACUGAGACACGGACCAGACUCCUACGGGAGGCAGCAGUGAGGAAUAUUGGUCAAUGGGCGCAAGCCUGAACCAGCCAUGUCGCGUGCAGGAUGACGGCCCUAUGGGUUGUAAACUGCUUUUUUACAGGAAUAAACUUUGCUACGUGUAGUAAAC